CAGUAAUAAUUGGAGGAACAUAUGUUUAAUUAAACAUAUAUCUACAUAAAUAAAUAAAAGUACACAAAAUGUUGAACUUCUAGGAGAUAUCGUCGGUUGCAUUAAAACAAUUUCAGAAAUACAAACGAGGUGGCAUAUAACAAGAUAUCGUGUAACCGUUUUGUCAGUUCGAUGAAAUUAAAAUCGACUAAAAGUGCGUAAAAACGACGGGCAUGGCAACACGCACUCGUGAUAUUCAUUAACGGCUGUUACGAGAAAGCGAAGUGGAGGAUAAGCGGACGGUUCAUAUCGUUCAAACUUAGUCUUAUACCUUACUAUACCUUUUUAUUACUUGCUAUCAUAAAACGUAUUUUCAGUGUUACAUACUUAAUUUGUAAAUCAAAUAUACUGUCAUAAAAAAUGGAUGGAAUUUUUUAAAACUAACAUCGAGUACACGUAGUGUUAAGCCUACGUGUUUUAAUGGAAUCAUCUAGAAGUUGGCAUGGUAAUUGAAUGUGGAUGACAAAAGAGAAGACGAUUAAAGGCGUAAAGGCUGAAGAUGCAAAUUACCCGGAAUUCUCGAAGAUGAUUUCAUGAAAACAACAUUGGUUAUCUGAAGAUCUACAUAAUCAAAGACUAUGACGAGCAGGAUAUUAAAAACCAGUUAUUAAAGAGUAUUCAUAGACAGAAUGCCAAGAUAAACGUAGAUGAUGUACGCUAUUGUUACUUCAUACGUUUGCCUCUUUACGGAAUUGUAAAUGGAAACAAAGAUCUUAGGAGAGCGGGGAACAUUCUUCAGUAAGAGGAAAUUUGUUGCAAUUUUUGUAAAAACGGUGAAACUUAGUAUAAAUUCUGCUAAUGUAGCUCCUAAUAAUCAAAUCUGAGGUAAAUCUUUGAAAAAAAAGGAACAAAACGAAGAAACUUUAGAA